GAUGACCGCUGGCGGCGUGCCUUAUACAUGCAAGUCGCGCGAAGCGGGGACGGGUGAGUAACACGUGGCUAACCUCCUAUAAGACUGGGAUAACCUCGGGAAACCGGAGCUAAACCGGAUACUUAUAGAUGGAUCCGCUCUGCAUUAGCGAGUUGGUAAGGUAACGGCUUACCAAGGCAACGAUGCAUAGCCGGCGUGAGAGGGGGAUAGUUAACACUGGAACUGAGAGACGUGCCAGACUCCUACGGGAGGCAGCAGUAGGGAAUCGUCCGCAAUGGGCGAAAGCCGGACGGAGCAACGACGCGUGAGUGAUGAAGGUCUUCGGGUCGUAAAGCUCUGUUAGUAGGGAAGCGGUACCUAAUCAGAAAGCCGCGGCUAACUACGUGCCAGCAGCGGCGGUAAUUC
rnacentral:rRNA from 1 species